UACGUAGGGGGCAAGCGUUGUCCGGAUUUAUUGGGCGUAAAGAGCGUGUAGGCGGCCAGACAGGUCCGUUGUGAAAACUCGAGGCUCAACCUCGAGAUGUCGAUGGAAACCGUCUGGCUAGAGUCCGGAAGAGGAGUGUGGAAUUCCUGGUGUAGCGGUGAAAUGCGCAGAUAUCAGGAGGAACACCGAUGGCGAAGGCAGCUCGCUGGGACGGUACUGACGCUGAGACGCGAAAGCGUGGGGAGCAAACAGG
rnacentral:rRNA from 1 species